rnacentral:rRNA from 1 species
GACGAACGCUGGCGGCGUGCUUAACACAUGCAAGUCGAACGGAAAGGCCCUGCUUUUGUGGGGUGCUCGAGUGGCGAACGGGUGAGUAACACGUGAGUAACCUGCCCUUGACUUUUGGAUAACUUCAGGAAACUGGGGCUAAUACCGGAUAGGAGCUCCUGCUUCAUGGUGGGGGUUGGAAAGUUUCGGCGGUUGGGGAUGGACUCGCGGCUUAUCAGCUUGUUGGUGGGGUAGUGGCUUACCAAGGCUUUGACGGGUAGCCGGCCUGAGAGGGUGACCGGCCACAUUGGGACUGAGAUACGGCCCAGACUCCUACGGGAGGCAGCAGUGGGGAAUAUUGCAAAAUGGGCGGAAGCCUGAUGCAGCAACGCCGCGUGCGGGAUGACGGCCUUCGGGUUGUAAACCGCUUUCGCCUGUGACGAAGCGUGAGUGACGGUAAUGGGUAAAGAAGCACCGGCUAACUACGUG